rnacentral:rRNA from 1 species
UUGUCUCUCUUGAGUGGAUCCUGAGUACGACGGAGCACGUGAAAUUCCGUCGGAAUCUGGGAGGACCAUCUCCUAAGGCUAAAUACUCUCUAGUGACCGAUAGUGAACCAGUACCGUGAGGGAAAGGUGAAAAGCACCCCGGAAGGGGAGUGAAAUAGAACCUGAAACCGUGUGCUUACAAGUAGUCAGAGCCCGUUAAUGGGUGAUGGCGUGCCUUUUGUAGAAUGAACCGGCGAGUUACGAUUUGAUGCAAGGUUAAGCAGUAAAUGUGGAGCCGUAGCGAAAGCGAGUCUGAAUAGGGCGUUUAGUAUUUGGUCGUAGACCCGAAACCAGGUGAUCUACCCUUGGUCAGGUUGAAGUUCAGGUAACACUGAAUGGAGGACCGAACCGACUUACGUUGAAAAGUGAGCGGAUGAACUGAGGGUAGCGGAGAAAUUCCAAUCGAACCUGGAGAUAGCUGGUUCUCUCCGAAAUAGCUUUAGGGCUAGCCUCAAGUGAUGAUUAUUGGAGGUAGAGCACUGUUUGGACGAGGGGCCCCUCUCGGGUUACCGAAUUCAGACAAACUCCGAAUGCCAAUUAAUUUAACUUGGGAGUCAGAACAUGGGUGAUAAGGUCCGUGUUCGAAAGGGAAACAGCCCAGACCACCAGCUAAGGUCCCAAAAUAUAUGUUAAGUGGAAAAGGAUGUGGCGUUGCCCAGACAACUAGGAUGUUGGCUUAGAAGCAGCCAUCAUUUAAAGAGUGCGUAAUAGCUCACUAGUCGAGUGACACUGCGCCGAAAAUGUACCGGGGCUAAACAUAUUACCGAAGCUGUGGAUUGUCCUUUGGACAAUGGUAGGAGAGCGUUCUAAGGGCGUUGAAGCAUGAUCGUAAGGACAUGUGGAGCGCUUAGAAGUGAGAAUGCCGGUGUGAGUAGCGAAAGACGGGUGAGAAUCCCGUCCACCGAUUGACUAAGGUUUCCAGAGGAAGGCUCGUCCGCUCUGGGUUAGUCGGGUCCUAAGCUGAGGCCGACAGGCGUAGGCGAUGGAUAACAGGUUGAUAUUCCUGUACCACCUAUAAUCGUUUUAAUCGAUGGGGGGACGCAGUAGGAUAGGCGAAGCGUGCGAUUGGAUUGCACGUCUAAGCAGUAAGGCUGAGUAUUAGGCAAAUCCGGUACUCGUUAAGGCUGAGCUGUGAUGGGGAGAAGACAUUGAGUCUUCGAGUCGUUGAUUUCACACUGCCGAGAAAAGCCUCUAGAUAGAAAAUAGGUGCCCGUACCGCAAACCGACACAGGUAGUCAAGAUGAGAAUUCUAAGGUGAGCGAGCGAACUCUCGUUAAGGAACUCGGCAAAAUGACCCCGUAACUUCGGGAGAAGGGGUGCUCUUUAGGGUUAACGCCCAGAAGAGCCGCAGUGAAUAGGCCCAAGCGACUGUUUAUCAAAAACACAGGUCUCUGCUAAACCGUAAGGUGAUGUAUAGGGGCUGACGCCUGCCCGGUGCUGGAAGGUUAAGAGGAGUGGUUAGCUUCUGCGAAGCUACGAAUCGAAGCCCCAGUAAACGGCGGCCGUAACUAUAACGGUCCUAAGGUAGCGAAAUUCCUUGUCGGGUAAGUUCCGACCCGCACGAAAGGCGUAACGAUUUGGGCACUGUCUCAACGAGAGACUCGGUGAAAUCAUAGUACCUGUGAAGAUGCAGGUUACCCGCGACAGGACGGAAAGACCCCGUGGAGCUUUACUGUAGCCUGAUAUUGAAAUUCGGCACAGCUUGUACAGGAUAGGUAGGAGCCUUUGAAACGUGAGCGCUAGCUUACGUGGAGGCGCUGGUGGGAUACUACCCUAGCUGUGUUGGCUUUCUAACCCGCACCACUUAUCGUGGUGGGAGACAGUGUCAGGCGGGCAGUUUGACUGGGGCGGUCGCCUCCUAAAAGGUAACGGAGGCGCUCAAAGGUUCCCUCAGAAUGGUUGGAAAUCAUUCAUAGAGUGUAAAGGCAUAAGGGAGCUUGACUGCGAGACCUACAAGUCGAGCAGGGUCGAAAGACGGACUUAGUGAUCCGGUGGUUCCGCAUGGAAGGGCCAUCGCUCAACGGAUAAAAGCUACCCCGGGGAUAACAGGCUUAUCUCCCCCAAGAGUUCACAUCGACGGGGAGGUUUGGCACCUCGAUGUCGGCUCAUCGCAUCCUGGGGCUGUAGUCGGUCCCAAGGGUUGGGCUGUUCGCCCAUUAAAGCGGUACGCGAGCUGGGUUCAGAACGUCGUGAGACAGUUCGGUCCCUAUCCGUCGUGGGCGUAGGAAAUUUGAGAGGAGCUGUCCUUAGUACGAGAGGACCGGGAUGGACAUACCUCUGGUGUACCAGUUGUCGUGCCAACGGCAUAGCUGGGUAGCUAUGUGUGGACGGGAUAAGUGCUGAAAGCAUCUAAGCAUGAAGCCCCCCUCAAGAUGAGAUUUCCCAACUUCGGUUAUAAGAUCCCUCAAAGAUGAUGAGGUUAAUAGGUUCGAGGUGGAAGCAUGGUGACAUGUGGAGCUGACGAAUACUAAUCGAUCGAAGACUUAAUCAA